AUCACUUCCGUCAAAUGAAAAUUCUGACUCAUACUAAUUCACUGUGACCGAUCAUUGGGAAUUCAAGAAAUAAACUGGAUCUACAUGUUAAUUGGAAUUAUUGCAAUGUGCCUCAUGUACCAGAAAAGAAAGGAGCCUGAAUUUCUUCUUCUUGCCUGGGGACGUGGACUGAUCCAUCUGGCUGGUCCUUUCCAGGUCUAAAGGAAGGUCUGAUUGAGCCAGAAUGAUUACCUACGCAAGACUUCUUUAUGGUUUUCUUUUUAAUCAUCAAGCCUGGAUAAAAUUGCCUAUUGAUUGACCUUAAAUGAAAUCUACUUUAACCUGGGAACUCCAUUAAGAGAAUAAUUCAGGAGGCCAUCUCUCCACCAACUCAUUGUUAAUCUCCCUGCCUUGGAAUUAAUGAUGCAUAGCAUUCCAAGAGACUCGUAAUUCCUAACAAGUUUAAAUAUUUAUCUGAACUCCUGGAAACCUUGUACUAUUCUUCUUAUGCACUAGC
rnacentral:lncRNA from 1 species